CAGCAGCCGCGGUAAUACGUAGGGUGCGAGCGUUGUCCGGAAUUACUGGGCGUAAAGAGCUCGUAGGCGGUUUGUCGCGUCGUCUGUGAAAUUCUGCAGCUUAACUGUAGGCGUGCAGGCGAUACGGGCAGACUUGAGUACUACAGGGGAGACUGGAAUUCCUGGUGUAGCGGUGAAAUGCGCAGAUAUCAGGAGGAACACCGGUGGCGAAGGCGGGUCUCUGGGUAGUAACUGACGCUGAGGAGCGAAAGCGUGGGUAGCGAACAGGAUUAGAUACCCCCGUAGUCCCUGUCUCUUAUAC
rnacentral:rRNA from 1 species